GCCCAGAUGGCGGAAUUGGUAGACGCGCUAGCUUCAGGUGCUAGUGCCCGAAAGGGCGUGGAGGUUCGAGUCCUCUUCUGGGCACCA
rnacentral:tRNA from 2 species